CAGUACAACUUCAGCAGUUGUCCUCCUUUUUUGGCUUGUUCAACUGACGUGUCUAUGGAACAUUGCCACACAGGCUAGUUCAUGCAUCACAACCGAGCUGGCUUAUGUUUAAGAAUUGGUAAUUGGGGUCAUUGAUAUCAGCAGAACUAAGGAGAAAGGUCUGUGAUGAGUUGGACGAGCUAAGGCAAAUUUACGAGGAACUGCCUGAAUUUUUGGAGGAGGUUCCUGUCAUUUGAAGUCUCUGAUACAUCAAUUGUAAUGUAAGGAGAAAUGAGUCCACAUAAAUGUUUGUCUUGAUUGAAGUAGUGCAUCCAGGUGACAUCUCUGGAGCUUGCGCAUAUUCCUGACGUGUUUAAGGACAAACAUGUUCCAUGUAUUGUCUAUAUUCAACAAGUAGGGUACUUGAUGUGCAUUCUUGAAGAGAAACCUGAUGAAAUGACCUUAGCAAGGCUUGAAGAUUUUGAAUAUGUUAAACCAGAAGGAUGACUCAAUAAAUUCACUUAUUGACAGUUUCCAGGCCUUGAUUGCAAUCA